rnacentral:rRNA from 1 species
GGGGGAAACCCUGAUGCAGCAACGCCGCGUGAGUGAUGAAGGUUUUCGGAUCGUAAAGCUCUGUCUUUGGGGAAGAUAAUGACGGUACCCAAGGAGGAAGCCACGGCUAACUACGUGCCAGCAGCCGCGGUAAUACGUAGGUGGCGAGCGUUAUCCGGAUUUACUGGGCGUAAAGGGAGCGUAGGCGGAUGAUUAAGUGGGAUGUGAAAUACCCGGGCUCAACUUGGGCGCUGCAUUCCAAACUGGUUAUCUGGAGUGCAGGAGAGGAGAGUGGAAUUCCUAGUGUAGCGGUGAAAUGCGUAGAGAUUAGGAAGAACACC